CCCAGAUCCGCUAUUUCUGCUUCCCCCAACCCGACGACGCCUGUCCCCCAAUUGCAUCCGGAGCCGUCCUCCCGCGCUCUCUCUGCCGAUCGGCGAUCGGCGAGGGGUGCAUGCGGUCCGUUCGACGAUCGCAGCUCCACUGCUUGCCGUAGUAGUCUUCAUCGAUCUUCGUCUCUCCGCGGGCUGCAACCGGCGGGAGUCGACGCCGGGGACACGCAUCGUCUUCGGACAGGUGCAUAACCAUAUACAGAAAAAAUUGCAAAUUGCUUCUAUCUAGUGUUGGCAUCAAAGUGGAGUUGAAUGAAUGAAUCUUUAAGGUCACUGUACUACCUCAUUUUUUAUCUGCAAAAUCUGGUUGCAUUGCAGUGCUGGAUCUCCUGAAAAGAAAAGCAUUAUGCGGCUUUCCUUGUCUCUCCAAGAUUUGAAGUCAUUCUCUAAACUAAAUUCAGAUGAACAUGAAGAUGACAGGAGUUAUGGGCGUUCGAAACCUUUUCAUGCUCUUCAAAAUGAAGUUAUCCCAUCAAGCCUAGUGAAGGAGAAAUCCUUACCACUAACUCAACCUAAACCAAAAAAAUGGGCACGGGCAACUCUAGGCAUCACCAUGCUUCUAUUAUUGCUAUCAUUGAUAUUUGUAUGCUCUAAAUUUGUUCAUUCUUAUUUGUCGCAAGAGGCAUCUAGGUAUUAUGUUGUUCUUGAUUGUGGCAGUACUGGCACUCGUGCGUAUGUCUAUGAGUGGUUGAUUGACCAAAAAGGUGAUAAAAAUUUUCCUAUUGCAUUGAAAUCUUUGCCUGAAGAUCCUGAAAGGAAUCCUAGAAUGCAAAGUGGCCUUGCUUACCAGCGUAUGGAAACUGAGCCUGGUUUUGAUAAACUUGUUCAUAAUGAAUCGGGCAUAAGGGCUGCUUUGCAUCCACUCCUUCAGUGGGCUGAGAAACAAAUACCAAAGCAUGCUCACAGAGGCACAUCUGUGUUUCUACUUGCUACUGCUGGAGUACGUGGGUUGCCUGGAUCUGAUUCAGAUUGGCUUCUAAACAAAGCAUGGGAUGUUUUGAAGAACUCAUCAUUUUUAUGCAGGAGAGAUUGGAUUAAGAUUAUAUCUGGUAUGGAGGAAGCAUACUAUGGGUGGAUAGCUCUUAACUAUCACAUGGGUCUAUUGGGUUCAUUGCCAGUUGGGAAGACUUAUGGGUCACUGGAUCUUGGGGGUUCAUCAUUACAAGUUACAUUUGAGACAGAGACACUAACACAUCAUGAUACAAGUAUAAGUUUGAGGAUUGCAUCUACUAGCCACUAUCUUAAUGCCUAUUCUCUGUCAGGUUUUGGAUUGAAUGAAGCAUUUGACAAAUCUGUGGCUCAUCUUUUCAGAAAGGUUGUUGGUACUUCAGAUGGUUUCAACAAUGAGAAGUUCCAACUUAGACAUCCUUGCUUAAAUAGUGGAUACAAGGAAGAAUAUACAUGUUCACGCUGUACCCCUAACCUAGCAGGGACUCCUGGGUUUGGAGGGAGAACUGGAACAGUUGUCGAACUACUUGGCACUCCUCAGUGGGAGGAGUGUAAUGCCCUUGCAAAAUUAGCUGUUAAUCUCUCAGCUUGGACGCAUUUAAGUUCUACUGUUGAUUGUGAACUUAAACCAUGUGCUCUCAGUGAUGAUUUACCGCAUCCUCAUGGGAAAUUUUAUGCCAUGUCAGGUUUCUUUGUGGUUUUCCGGUUUUUUGGUUUAUCUUCUGAGGCUUCUCUUGAAGAUGUACUUAAAAAGGGCCAGGAGUUUUGUGCUAAACCAUGGGAAGCUGCAAUGAAUAGUGUUGCACCACAACCAUACAUAGAGCAAUAUUGUUUUAGGGCUCCUUAUGUCAUAUCCCUUUUGAGAGAUGGGUUGCAUAUCAAUGAUAGUCAGGUGGUUAUUGGCUCUGGUAGUAUUACUUGGACAUUGGCAGUAGCCCUAUUGGAGGCUGGGCAGACAUUUUCAAAUUUAUCUGAAGUGCAUGGCUAUAAGAUUGUGCCAACAGACAUACAUCCAGCUUUCCUUGUUGCAAUGCUUUUGUUUUUGGUUUUAUUUCUUUGUUAUGCACUAUACUGCAUAAGAAAAAUGAUUCCAAAAUUAUUCCGACGAUCAUAUCUCCCACUCCACAGGCACAAUAGUGUACCAAGUUCUGUUCUUAGCCUCCCUUUCCAGAGGUGGAGUCCUAUUAAUUCUGUUGAGGGAAAGAUAAAAGCACCGCUCAGUCCUACAAUUGAUGCUUCUGAGCAGCAUCCAUUUAGCAUGGGACAUGUUUUGGGAAGCAGUAAUACUCAAGAACCUUCAGUGAAUCAAUUAGCCAGUGCUCAUAGUUAUUCAUCUGGUAGCUUAGGCCAACUACUGUUUAUCAAUGGUGCUGGAUCCUCCUGGACACCCCAUGGGAGUCAGAGAAAACUUUCAAGCAGGAGAUCUCAGUCAAGAGAAGAUCUCAGUUCUUCAGUAGCAGAAGUUCACACAGUGAAGAAGAACAGUCAAAUUGUUGGCACGUAGUGACAUGAAUGAGGUGGGGGAUCAAUUUCCCUUUUGAAGAAUAGAGUUUUGUUACUUUUAAAUUUAAAGGAGAAAACUUCUUUUUUGACUGCAAACACUGUAGUCGACAAUUCUGCUGCAAUGCUAGCUGGUUCAAACAUUUUCACCUCAUUCAAUAAGCGUGGGGAUUUAUAUUGUUAAGAGUUAGUGGUUUGCUGUAUUCUCAUAGAAAUUUUUAUACCUUUGUUAUGGAGAUUCAUGAAAUCAUAGAAUUUCCAAAAUUCAGAAAUUUUCACAACUAAUCAAUUUUCUUUAAAUAUUCUUCCAAUUAUAUUUGGUAGAGUUUGCCAGAGAAAUGCCAUGCCAUGGUUAAGGAAUUUUUAUGAUCAAUCUUCCUUGUGUGACUAAUAAAUUCACAGAUUAUUUAAUGGACAGAAGAUCAAAACUCAGUUAUCAACUUCAGCUUGAUCCUAGUGAUGAUGGUGCUGGUGUUUCUAAGGAUGAAGUUUUGCAUUCUGGUUUGACUAGUUUUCAUCCAGUUUGAUGACGUUUGAUGGUUCCCUUUAGUUAAUCCAGAUCCAAUAUUGAUUUGGAUUGGUUUUUGACCUCCAUUUCAUUUUGAACGGUUGAAAUUAGUUUAAUCUUUUAUUGAUUGUGCAACAGAAUUGAACACCUUCAUCGAGGAAGCUUCACAUUGCAGGGAUGAGCUGAUGCUGCUUACUUCAAUUCUUUUCCUUUUGAACCCAUGUGAAGCAGCCUUGUUACUGAUAUGAAGGAAAGAUAAAAGCACCACCCAGUCCUACUUCUGAGUUCUGAGCAGCGCCCAUUUAGGAUGGGGCAUGCCUUGGGAAGCAGUAACACUCAACUUAAGGAACCUUCAGUGCUUAUAGUUAUUCAUCUGGUAGCUUAGGCCAACUGCAGUUUAUCAAUGGUGUGGGAUCCUCCUGGAUACUCCACAGAGGGUCAGAGAAAACUUUCAAGCUCGAGAUCAGAUCUCAGUUCUUCAGUAACAGAAGCCCACACGGCAAAGGUUUGACUUACAAGCAUGCUCAAGCCCUAAGGUUGAUGUUUCUAUUUAGAUUUUGAUUAGCGUAGUUUAGGGCAAUUUUGGUGAAUUAUAAUUGGAAGAAUGGAGGUGCAUUUAUUCAAUCUAAGCACAUGGCCUGUUCCUGCAUGAUAUGGUUGGUACUCAAUCAUCAAUCAUUUUCAUACAUGACUCGACACAAUGUUUGUAGCAUGCAUCUAAUUUAAUAAUGGAAUAGCUUAAGCAUAGUUCAAAA